rnacentral:lncRNA from 1 species
AGUGCGGCCUGCAGACUCCAUGCCUUUCGGCGUCCACCCUCGCGCCCCAGUCCCGGCCCACUGCGUACCCCUUCCCUGACCUGGACCUUUCCGGGCCGUGUGCUCCUAGUCGUCCUCUCCUCGAGGUGCCCCGCUGUGACCAGCAGACCUGCACACAGACGCAAGACAGGAUAAACAUCUGGGAAGCACAGGUAUAUGAGGCACAGAAACACAAGGCACUGUGGAUGCCUCUUCUGUCUGGACAGAAAACUGGAGUCAGGAGACCUCUCUGAGUCCCCAGAGACAGAAUCAUCACUACUGUGUGUCCUUGGAACUUAAAGUAGUAAAAAAAAAAAAAGACACAGCAAGAAGUUCACAGUCUGCAACUUGAAAGAGGACCCUCACAAGAACCCAACCAUGCUGGUACCUGAUCUUGGACUUCCAGACUUCCAGAACUGUGAGGAAAAAAAUAUUGCUGUUGUUUAUAAGCCACCCAGACUAUGGUAUUUUAUUAUAGCAACCCGAACAGACUGGUAUGGUUAAUGUAUGGAUUUUUGCCAAUUUUUACCUUACCCUCCAACAUUAAAGAAACUUGUUACUUUGCUACUUUAUUUUCUUCCCCUUACCCAUUCUUUGAAGAUGGUCCUUUCUGGACAGAUUUGUUCUUUUGGGCUAAUGAAAAAUUGAUGGUUAUGGGUGGAAAACAGGAGCAGAUUGGUAAUAGAG